rnacentral:piRNA from 1 species
UCCCCUGAGAGCAAGAAGCCUGUGUGGUCUG